rnacentral:lncRNA from 1 species
CUGAAUUACUUCACAGAUAAUCAUGGCGAAUGAAGGCUGGAUUGAAGUGGAGUGCUCUUUGUUCCAAUAUGAAAACUCUUUCAGAGCAGCUGUUCCGUCCUCAUACAGCCCUCAGCACUGUCAGUGUGUGAGUGAUUUUUGCCAGAGCAUUGAGACCAACAUGGAUCUCAUGAGAACCUUCAAGGUACUUUCUUCAUCUGGAGAAACACAGGACAAGACAAACCACCAUUUACCAAGAGCCCAGUCCCCAGCUGAAUGCUCACUACUAAGUAUUUAGGCCUAAUUUCUAGAAUUUCUGAUUUCAUCUGGCAUCAUAUAAACUCACUUUCCUUGUUUUUGAAAGUACUUUGACUCCCCUCAACCUCAUCAUCUGCAUUUCACUAUUACUACAGCAUGGGGAAAUCAAGAUUAC